rnacentral:misc_RNA from 1 species
UUGCCGAGGAGCACGGGGAGCUCGCCGACGGCAAAGAAGAGGCAGCCCGCGGCGGUGGCCGGAGCGGUCGGUGAAGAGGACGUCGGGGUCGGCGGCCGCCGCGUCGGCCACCCAUCCGGGGAGCGCGUCGCCGUCGGUGCGGAGCGAGACGCGGAGGUCGAGCUAAGCGACGGCCCAGGACACCAGCAGCUCCACGCCGUCGACGUCGAGCAGCUUGAGCGCGCGCAGCGCCGCCGAGACGGCCCUGCGCCGGCCCACGCCUCGGCCGUCGGAGACCACCGCGUCCGCGGGGAGGCCCACGAACAGCCUCACCUCGACGUCCUCGCCCUCCGCCGCCCGCUCGCCGGAGGCGGCCUCCUCGGAGACGAGCGCCCGCACGGGGCCCAGAUGCCUGCUGCUGCUAGCCCGGACAGCCCCGCUGACCGCACGCCGCGCUGCUCCGAGGCGGACGGCGCCUGCUCGCUGCUGGCCCUGGUCGUUGCAACUGCCGCGAAGCGGAGCCGGUGA